UACGGGAGGCAGCGGUGGGGAAUAUUGCACAAUGGGCGCAAGCCUGAUGCAGCCAUGCCGCGUGUAUGAAAAAGGCCUUCGGGUUGUAAAGUACUUUCAGUCGUGAGGAAGGUGUUAAGGUUAAUAACCUUAGCAAUUGACGUUAGCGACAGAAGAAGCACCGGCUAACUCCGUGCCAGCAGCCGCGGUAAUACGGAGGGUGCGAGCGUUAAUCGGAAUUACUGGGCGUAAAGGGCACGCAGGCGGUUAAUUAAGUUGGAUGUGAAAUCCCCGGGCUUAACCUGGGAAUGGCAUUCAAGACUGGUUAGCUAGAGUCUUGUAGAGGGGGUAGAAUUCCAUGUGUAGCGGUGAAAUGCGUAGAGAUGUGGAGGAAUACCGGUGGCGAAGGCGGCCCCUGGACAAGACUGACGCUCAUGUGCGAAAGCGUGGGGAGCAAACAGGGAUUAGAUACC
rnacentral:rRNA from 1 species